rnacentral:rRNA from 1 species
UACGGGGGGGGCAAGCGUUGUUCGGAAUUACUGGGCGUAAAGGGCUCGUAGGCGGCCAACUAAGUCGGAUGUGAAAUCCCUCGGCUUAACCAAGGAAGUGCAUCCGAAACUGCAGUGCUUGAGUACUUAAGAGGAUCGCGGAAUUCCCGGUGUAGAGGUGAAAUUCGUAGAUAUCGGGAGGAACACCAGUGGCGAAGGCGGCGAUCUGGGAAGAUACUGACGCUGAGGUGCGAAAGCGUGGGGAGCAAACAGG